GUCCACGCCGUAAACGAUGGGCACUAGGUGUAGGAGGUGUCGACUCCUCCUGUGCCGAAGCUAACGCAUUAAGUGCCCCGCCUGGGGAGUACGGCCGCAAGGCUAAAACUCAAAGGAAUUGACGGGGACCCCGCACAAGCAGCGGAGCAUGUGGUUUAAUUCGACGCAACGCGAAGAACCUUACCUGGGCUUGACAUGUGGGUGACAGCCGUGGAAACACGGUCUCCCUUCGGGGCACCUUCACAGGUGGUGCAUGGCUGUCGU
rnacentral:rRNA from 1 species